UGGUUCAUUGUUAGCUGAGGGGAAGAUGACAACGAGGUACACAAACAGUAAAAUGUAAUCAAAAGGACAAGUUGGAGGAGCAGGCU